GAGUUUGAUCCUGGCUCAGAUUGAACGCUGGCGGCAGGCCUAACACAUGCAAGUCGAGCGGAUGACGGGAGCUUGCUCCUUGAUUCAGCGGCGGACGGGUGAGUAAUGCCUAGGAAUCUGCCUGGUAGUGGGGGACAACGUUUCGAAAGGAACGCUAAUACCGCAUACGUCCUACGGGAGAAAGCAGGGGACCUUCGGGCCUUGCGCUAUCAGAUGAGCCUAGGUCGGAUUAGCUAGUUGGUGGGGUAGUGGCUCACCAAGGCGACGAUCCGUAACUGGUCUGAGAGGAUGAUCAGUCACACUGGAACUGAGACACGGUCCAGACUCCUACGGGAGGCAGCAGUGGGGAAUAUUGGACAAUGGGCGAAAGCCUGAUCCAGCCAUGCCGCGUGUGUGAAGAAGGUCUUCGGAUUGUAAAGCACUUUAAGUUGGGAGGAAGGGCAGUAAGUUAAUACCUUGCUGUUUUGACGUUACCGACAGAAUAAGCACCGGCUAACUCUGUGCCAGCCGCCG
rnacentral:rRNA from 1 species